rnacentral:rRNA from 1 species
UGAGUAACACGUAGGUAACCUGCCCAUGUGCCCGGGAUAACUUCUGGAAACGGAUGCUAAAACCGGAUAGGUAGCAGACAAGCAUUUGACUGCUAUUAAAGUGGCUAAGGCCAUGAACAUGGAUGGACCUGCGGUGCAUUAGCUAGUUGGUGAGGUAACGGCCCACCAAGGCGACGAUGCAUAGCCGGCCUGAGAGGGCGGACGGCCACAUUGGGACUGGGACACGGCCCAAACUCCUACGGGAGGCAGCAUG